rnacentral:rRNA from 1 species
GUGGGGAAUAUUGGACAAUGAGCGAAAGCCUGAUCCAGCCAUGCCGCGUGUGUGAAGAAGGUCUUCGGAUUGUAAAGCACUUUAAGUUGGGAGGAAGGGAAGUAAGUUAAUACCUUGCUGUUUUGACGUUACCAACAGAAUAAGCACCGGCUAACUUCGUGCCAGCAGCCGCGGUAAUACGAAGGGUGCAAGCGUUAAUCGGAAUUACUGGGCGUAAAGCGCGCGUAGGUGGUUCAGCAAGUUGAAGGUGAAAUCACAGGGCUCAACCUGGGAACUGCCUCCAAAACUACUGUGGUAGAGUACGGUAGAGGUUAGUGGAAUUUCCUGUGUAGCGGUGAAAUGCGUGGAUAUAGGAAGGAACACCAGUGGCGAAGGCGACUACCUGGACUGAUACUGACACUGAGGUGCGAAAGCGUGGGGAGCAAACAGGAUUAGAAACCCGAGUAGUCC